rnacentral:rRNA from 1 species
UCCGCAAUGGGCGCAAGCCUGACGGAGCAAGACCGCGUGCGGGAGGACGGUCUGUGGAUUGUAAACCGCUUUUGUCAGGGAAGAAGAUCUGACGGUACCUGACGAAUCAGCAUCGGCUAACUCCGUGCCAGCAGCCGCGGUAAUACGGAGGAUGCAAGCGUUAUCCGGAAUUAUUGGGCGUAAAGCGUCCGUAGGUGGUUGAUCAAGUCUGCUGUCAAAGGCUGGAGCUUAACCUCAUACAGGCAGUGGAAACUGGUGAGCUAGAGUGCGGUAGGGGUAGAGGGAAUUCCCAGUGUAGCGGUGAAAUGCGUAGAGAUUGGGAAGAACAUCAGUGGCGAAAGCGCUCUGCUGGGCCUGCACUGACACUGAGGGACGAAAGCUAGGGGAGCGAAAGGGAUUAGAUACCCC